GGGGAAUUUUGGACAAUGGGCGAAAGCCUGAUCCAGCAAUGCCGCGUGCAGGAUGAAGGCCUUCGGGUUGUAAACUGCUUUUGUACGGAACGAAAAAGCUCCUUCUAAUACAGGGGGCCCAUGACGGUACCGUAAGAAUAAGCACCGGCUAACUACGUGCCAGCAGCCGCGGUAAUACGUAGGGUGCGAGCGUUAAUCGGAAUUACUGGGCGUAAAGCGUGCGCAGGCGGUUUGGUAAGACAGGUGUGAAAUCCCCGGGCUUAACCUGGGAACUGCGCUUGUGACUGCCAGGCUAGAGUACGGCAGAGGGGGGUGGAAUUCCACGUGUAGCAGUGAAAUGCGUAGAGAUGUGGAGGAACACCGAUGGCGAAGGCAGCCCCCUGGGCCUGUACUGACGCUCAUGCACGAAAGCGUGGGGAGCAAACA
rnacentral:rRNA from 1 species